rnacentral:misc_RNA from 1 species
GAAAUGCGAUAAGUAGUGUGAAUUGCAGAAUUCAGUGAAUCAUCGAAUCUUUGAACGCACAUUGCGCCCUGUGGUAUUCCGCAGGGCAUGCCUGUUCGAGCGUCAUUCAACCCCCUCAAGCUUUGCUUGGUGUUGGGCGUUUGUCCCGCCUUCUGGCAUGGACUCGCCUCAAAAAUAUUGGCAGCCAUCUCCCUGGCUUCGAGCGCAGCACCUUUGCGCCCGGUACUUGGGGGUCGUGGCUUCCCAAAAGCACUCCUUUCGGUUGACCUCGGAUCAGGUAGGGAUACCCGCUGAACUUAA